rnacentral:rRNA from 1 species
UACCUUGUUGACUUCACCCCAGUCAUGAAUCCCUGCAAUGAUAUUUUCCAACACGGUUAGGCUACUUCCGCUUCCUGGUAAAACCACUCCAUGGUCGUGACGGGCGGUGUACAAGACCAGAACGCCAUUCACGCGACAUGUAGUCCGCAGGUACUGGCGAUUCCGACUUCACAGUCGAGUUGCGGAGCUGCGAUCCGGACUGAAUCGGGUUUCUGGGAUUGGCUCCCCCUCGCGGGUUUGGCGACCCUACGUCCCAGCCAUUGUAUAGCCCGAUGAAGCCCUACCCAUAGAGGCCAUGAGGACUUGAGCGUCAUCCCCACACUCCCUCCAGUUUGUCACCGGCAGUCUCGAUAGAGUGCCCUUUCGUAGCAAUAACGACAGAGGUUCACUCGUUGCGGGACUUAUUUAACAUCUGACACGGAUGACGACAGCCAUGCAGCACCUGUGUUCCGGUUCUCUUGCGAGCACUCCCAAAUCUCUUCUGGAUUCCAGACAUGUCAGGGUAGAUGGUUUCGCGUUGCACUCGUUAAUCCACAUCAUCCACCGCGUGCGGGUCCCCGUCAAUUCCUUUGCGGAGUUUAAAUAUCUUUUGCGACCGUACUCCCCAGGCGGUCAACUUCACUACAUUCGCUGCUACCAAGGCGAAGGCCCCAACGCAGCUAGUUGACAUCGUUUAGGGCGUGAACUACCAGGGUAUCUAAUCCUGUUUGCUCACUUUCGUGCAUAGGCGUGGUGUUAUCAGGAAGCUGCCUUCGCCAUCAAUUGUUCCUCCGCAUAUCUACAUUCACUGCUACGCGGGAAUUCCUCCCUCCCCAUGUUUGCCUCUAGCUCGGUAGUUAAAAAUGCAGUUCCAAAGUUAAGCUCUGGGAUUUCCCUGCAUCUUUCUUUUGAACCGCCUCACGCACGCUUCCGCCAAUAAUUCCAGUUAACGCUUGCACCUAAUAUUGCGGCUGUACGUGGUUAGCCGGUGCUUAUUCUGCGGUACCGUCAGUUGCACGGAGUAUUAUCCCGUGCAUUUUUCCCUGCCAAAGUGCUUCCCAACCCGAAGGCCUUCAUCGCACGCGGGAUGGCUGGAUCAGGGUUUCCCCAUUGUCCAAAAUUCUCCACUGCUGCCUCCCGGCGAGUCUGGGCCGUGUCAUAGUCCCAGUGGCUGGUCGUCCUCUCAAACAGCCACGGAUCGUCGCCGCUGACGAGCCGUUACCCCACCAACUCGCUAAUCCGAUAUCGGCCGCUCUAUUAGUGCGGGCCGAAGGUCCCCCUUUCCCCCGAAGACGUAUGCGGUAUUAGCAUAACUUUCGCGUAGUUAUCCCCACUAUGAACGUUCCGUCCAUUACUCUGCAAUUCACCACAUCGCCACCAGACCGAAGUCCGUGCUGCCGUUCGACUUUUGCAUGUAAAGCAUCCAUAGCGUUAAUCGAGCCAUAAUCAAACC